rnacentral:rRNA from 1 species
UACGUAGGCAGCGAGCGUUGUUCGGAGUUACUGGGCGUAAAGGGUGUGUAGGCGGUUCUUUAAGUUUGGUGUGAAAUCACCCGGCUCAACCGGGAGGGUGCGCCGAAUACUGAGGGACUAGAGUAUGGGAUGGGAAAGUGGAAUUCCUGGUGUAGCGGUGAAAUGCGUAGAUAUCAGGAGGAACACCUGUGGUGUAGACGGCUUUCUGGACCAUAACUGACGCUGAGACACGAAAGCGUGGGUAGCAAACAGG